GGGCACAUAGCUCAGUUGGUUAGAGCGUCCGCCUCACACGCGGAAGGCCGUGGGUUCAAGUCCUACUGUGCCCACCA
rnacentral:tRNA from 1 species